CUACCAAAAACCUUUGCACAUAGUUUUUAAGAUGGAUCUGACAGUCGUCUCCCUUUUAAAACCCUUGUGCUAUCUUAGAAGACCCCACCCUCACAUUGACGUGUUCUCCCUACCAUGACAAAGGUGGAUAAAGGUGGAAAGAUUUCAUGUAAUCCAUGGACACCAGUGAAGAUCACAAAUCAUUGAAGAAAAAAGGUUCAGGGCACUGUCUAGUGGGGCUAGAUGACCCAACUCCCAAUGGUAAAGUGCCUAGGAUAGCACAAGGGUUACGAAAGAAGAUCCAGAGAAACAGGUGGAAAAGGGAUGGGCUGCAAAAAAAAAAAAAAAAAAAACUGAAAAGAAAAACCCCAAUAAUAUCUUGAAUGAAUAAAGAUAGUGCAUUUCUGUUUAUGGAAGAAGUAAACAGGACAACACAAAUCAAGUUCAAGAGGGUCUGAAGUCAGUGAUGAAGGAGAGGAAAUCGAGACAGAGGGGAAGAGGAGGGGGACUGAGAGAAAACCAGCUUUGCCUUUUCUGGUAGUUGAAGUCGCUAAAAGAACAACCAGGAAUUUUUGGACUGAGAUAUAAACCAGACUGUAGAAGCUAAUCCUUGCAAAGAAAGCAGACCGUAAUGUCUAUGGACUAAACCCAGCUGCUGCUGCGUGAGAAAAUCGUAACUUUAAGCCAACAUGGAUGACGACUUUGACCGCCGCAUGGAGCUGAGGAGGCAGAGGAGGGAGCAGAUGCGUCUUGAAGCUGACAGGUCUGGUUUCACCAAUGAAGAAGAAGAGGAGGACGCAUUGGAGCAAAGGAGACGAGCAAGGGAGGAAAGGAAGAAGAUGAGAGACUUAGAGGAGUCUGGUGGAACUGAUGUAAACAAUACCAACAGCUUGCCAGAGAUCAACUCCACGGAUAAUGCUGGUGCUGAUGAUGACCAGGCCCUGCUGGAGCGCCUGGCCAAAAGGGAGGAGCGCCGGCAGAAGAGAAUGAAGGAAGCUUUGGAGAGACAGAAAGAACUGGACCCUACAGUUGGCACCCCCAAUGGCACAGACAGCACGCAGGAGGAGCAGUCCUCCUUUACUAACGGCAACUCACAGCAGGAUGCUCAGGAUGCAGAUGGGAAAAAGAAGUCUGUUCAGGAGGAGGUGGCAAAAACAGAUACAAACUCCUGGAGUAGGCAGGAAGAUGAGAAAGUAGAGGAUGGGAAGAAUUCUGAAGAAUCAAGCACAACACUCCCCCACAAUGAGAAGGAUGCUAACAGUACGGCUGAAGCGACAGAGGCGGAGCCUGAACAGCUGAAGUCAGAAACUAAGAAGGCUGAGGAAAAACCUGCACCUGAUGUCGACAACGAGGAGAAAGAAAGGAGCAGGGAAGAAGAAAAGGAAAAACAGCUAAAGGAAAUUGAAGAAAAACUACGGCAAGAAGAGGAGGAGGAGGAGCAGCAAAAAAUAAGAAUGGAAGAACAGCUCAAAAAGGAAGAGGAAGAACGGCAAGAAAGUGAGGAGAAUGAGAGGAAGAGGAGGGAAGAAGAUGAGAGACAACAAAUGGAAAAGGAGGAGAAGCUUAAAGAGGAGAAAGAAGAGAAACAAAGAAAAGAGAUGGAGGAGAGAAUAAAAAAAGAGGAUGAGGAGGAGAGAGAAAGACAAAGAAGAGAAAAUGAAGAAGAACAGAAGAGGGAAAUUGAAAGACUAAAACAGGAGGAAGAGGAAAAAUACAAAAAAGAGAUGGAAGAGAAGAAGAAGAAAGAGGAAGAAGAGGAAAAGCAGAGGAUAGAAAUGGAAGAGAAGAAAAGGGAAGAGGAGGAGAGGCAGAAAAAAGAGCAGGAAGAGAAGAAGAGAAAGGAAGAGGAGGAGAGGCGGAAGAGGGAGAUGGAGGAAAGGAAAAGGAAAGAGGCUGAAGAAAAAAAGAAAAAGGAGGCAGAGGAGAAGAAAAAGAAAGAUGAAGAAGAAAGACAAAAAAGGGAGAUGGAAGACAUAAAAAAGAAAGAGGAAACAGAGAAAAGAAAAAAAGAAUUGGAAGACAAGAAAAAGAAAGAGAUGGCGGAGAAAAAUAAAAAGAGGGAAGUGGAAGAGAUGAAAAAGAAAGAGGAGGUACUGAUAUUCUUUGUGCCGAUCCAUUUGAUUUGUUUGUCACACUUUACGUUUUUUUUCUCUGCACAAAUGUUUGGUUCAGUGCAAAUAUGUUUUUGA
rnacentral:lncRNA from 1 species